UAUGUGUGCGUAUACAUAGAUAUAUACUAUAUAUUUACAUAUCAUAACUAUGUAAUCAUUAUAUAUAAUCCACACAUGUAUUAAAGCUGCCUGCAUCAGCCCCAGCCAUGCUGUUUCUCAUUUGUGUAAAGACAGGUGAUCCACUUUCUCACCUCUAAAAGCCAGACGUGACAUAACAGUGACCUGAAAACUAGAUAUUCAGAAGGAGCUGAUAACAGUGCCCAGCACAUUCAGGGAAACAUGCUCUCAGGCUGCCACCUUUCAGUUACCAUCUAUAUGUAAGUGGGUAUGCGUGUAAGAAUGUUUGCAGGACUCUGGCAAAAGGAACACGGUCUUCAGCAGAGUUUUCUCAUGUUUGGUGGCAAAGGAGGACGGUGUCUUCAGACUUUCUGAGGCCAGUGAUUCAUCGCCCAGCAUGGUUGGCAGUGCCUUCGGCUUCUGAGGGACGAUGGAGUCGGGGCGGUAGCCACAGUGGAACAGACCUCAAAAACCCCUGCCUUCCCGCCCCUCAGAAUUCAGAACCCCUGGAGUUUCGGGCUGUGGUUUCCUUGCUCAGGCGUCAGGGCCUGGGGAGCUGCCAGCUGCCUUUCAACCCUCCCGCCUUGCCAGUGGCUGGAUUGUGUAAGAGCCACCCCCCCUCCAUGGCUGCUCUCUAGCAGGCCUGGGCCUGCCCGCCCUUGCUGUCCUCCCUGGGGAGCUGGGGUAGAGGCCUGACUCCUGGUACUACUGGUACUCACAGGACUGGCCACCCUGGGAGGCUUCUAAGCAGCAGGGAGAGGGUGUGGAAUGUCUCUUGACAUUUGAGGCCUGCUCUCAAAACCAGUGCCAGAACCUGCAGAGCCCGGUGGUGCCGGUGCCGGCAGGAACCAAGUGAGCUCUGGUUUCAUUGGUGAGUGGGUGGGCCCAGCCUCACCUCGAGAUGGCACAGGAAGAUGCUGGUUGCAGAAACUCAUGAGUUGGCACACACCUGGGUAACCACCUUCGAAGGCCGGUGAGGCACUGCAUCUGACAAGAAGGUAGGUUCCUGUGGGACCCUAAAUUCAGCAGAGACUCUCCACACUUCUGCCUUUCUGCUACACCACCCGACUUGGGAGCACAGCAGGAGCCCCAAGGAGGGGGCUGUUGAGCUGGGGUCUUGGAGCUGAGAUGUUCUCACACUCUCCCACACAAGGUCCUCUGAGCAGAGCAAUCUCUUCCAGCCAUGUUCUGGAAGGAAAACAGUCAGGUAAAGUCUCUGUCUCUGUAGGAAAAUCUCAAAACCAGACUCACCCUCACCGAACUUAAACCUGGCCAGGGAGAGCAAGGCCUGGUAGAUGCCUUUUUAUAGAUGUGUGUGCACCACGCAUGAGAAGUCCAAGGACGGAGCUGCCUUCACAUCUGAGCCUGACUCUGUCAUCCCUCAGGGACUAUUUACUGACCUCGCUUUGGUUGCAGUAUUCUCCAUUAAGGUGGUAUGGAAGGUUACCUACAAUUGCUUCCCCAGCACAUGGCUUCAUCAUCCACACUUUGGUAAACAGAGAAGAAUAUGGCCUAUUUCCUUGGGAGAGAACUGCGUGCCUGUCCCAACCCUGCUGACUACUCACAGAACCACACUACUCUGAGGCAUAAAACCUUUGACCAACAUAAUUUUUUUACAUCCCCAAAAUAUUAAAAAUCAACCUCAUUUAAAUUGUU
rnacentral:sRNA from 1 species